ensembl:lncRNA
AGCCAAAUGACUCCAUCUCCUUAUAGCAGUUACUCUGAAGAAGAUGAGCUUGAUGAAAAUGGAGAAAAGGGAAUAACAGCCACCGAUCCUGAACCAAAUGGCCCUACAGAUACCCCUCUUACCACAUCCACUGACAAAGAGGACAGCGAUACUACACUCAGUUGUGAUGAGCAGAUUGGAGAAAUCAGUGGAAGGCUGGCCAUUCCUGGGGCUCAAGCUUGGAAGCACCUAGGAAGGAAGCGUAAGGCCAAAGAUUGUCAGGCUGCUAGUGGGCUGCAGACUUAUAUGGCUCAGCAAAGCAAGCAGCUACAGGACAUGUAUGAAGCUGAGCAAAAACACCCAGCACAGGACAACACAGUCCUUAAGAAACUGCUGAAGGUACAUCAGGAGGCAGAGGAAAGGAGAUUUCAAGCUAUCCAAGCUCAGCAGGAGGCAAAUCGUCAUGUUUACACACCUAGUGGCUACUCUUGCUAAUGCGUUGUCUUCUGGUCAGUCACAGCACCCACCCUCGCAGCCCCCAACCCACUUGAUUCCACCAGCUCCAAUGAGUUCAACCCCUGCCAGUACCUGGUCCAUUCCUCAGCCACCCAGGGCCAAACCACAGCAGCCCAUGGCCCUGCAGCUCAUGCAACCAUAUAUAGUCAGACCAGGUGAAGAGGCUGCAAAUGUUUCAUCUAUUGAAUCACAUGGCAACCUGCCUACAGUAUG